AUGCUGGCGUGGCGGUGCGGGGAGCGCACGCGCAUUGUGCUGUGGUUACUGCACCACCUGGGAGCUAGGAGGAGGUGCGCCAUGAGCUACGUCGCCCGCACAGGAGGGCGGGGGACAGAGCGAAUGGGAUGGUGCCGGGGCCUUGCCGGCGGUGUUGAUGAGCUCGGUGAUGCAGCCCAGCCAGGCGUCAUAGCCCUUCGGGUGGGGAUCGUGGGGCUGGGCAACAUCGGCUCGCGCGUCGCCCGGCGUCUCGCCGCCUUCGGUUGCGCCGUCUCCUCCACUCGAGGUCGCCCAAGCCGUCGGCGCCGUACCCGUUCGUCCCCGCGCUGCGCGACCUCGCCGUCGGCAGCGACGUGCUGGUGCUCUCCUGCGCGCUGACGGACGAGAGCAAGCACAUGGUGAGCCGGGACGUGAUGGAGGCGCUGGGGAAAGACGGGGUGCUGGUCAACAUGGCCGGGGUGGGCUGGUGGACGAGCCGGAGCUGGUCAGGUGCCUCCACGAAGGCGUCAUCGGCGGCGCCGGCCUGGACGUGUACGAGAACGAGCCGGCCGUGCCGCCGGAGCUGCUCGCCAUGGACAACGUGGUGCUGUCGGACAACAGGGCCGUCCUCAUGACGGAGUCCAUCGGCGGCGUGCUUGAAGUCGUCAUCGCCAACCUCGACGCCUUCUUCUCGGGGAGGCCACUGGUCAGCCUCGUGCAACUUCAAGCACAAGAACUUCUCCAGCUUCAUAUGAUGGACCGCGGGAGGUCGUAAAGCGAGCGGUGUGUGCCAUGAACUCUGCUUCCUUGGCAUCCAAGUUCGUGUCCUGUGGUGUCCAUUCUUGAUAUAGUGCCAUGAUUUUGCCUGUCAUUACUUUCCGUGCUAUUACACUUUUGUUUGUCAUUACUUUCCGUUCCACGCCAGCUCACGCGCACGGAUCUAUCUGCAUAUGAUUAAUCCUUGAUUUUGAGUUAUGAUAUGUUAUGCUAACAAUUUUGUGGGACUACAGGUUUUGAGAUCUUUGCUUUCCCAUGCAACCAGUUUGGUGGGCAGUAACUUGGCAUUGAUAAGGAAAUUGUUUAGAUUGUUUCCACUCGUUUCCAUGCUUAGUAUCUGAUUUUUGGCAAGGUAAAUGUGUGCAUGAUACUUCCUCCUUUUUUGGUGUCUCUCUUUCAAGCUGAAAGAAACGAUUGCUUUAGUGUACAAUGUACAUUAUUACUGCUUCCAUAACAGUAAUGUAUUUAAUUGAGGAAAUACGAUCCAGCAUGUCUUGUCUAUUCUGUAUGCAGUCUGAGUGAUAUAAGGGUGCGUUUGGGAGCCAAAGUAUUUUUGUAGUUUUUAAGGAAUACUGUGGUUUCUGAAAGAAAGCUUGGUAUUCAAUACUUUGAGUCGUUUGGAUGAAAAAAAUACUACAGUUUAACAAACCGUGGUAUCCCUAAAAUUGUGGUCUUUUUGUAGUAUAUAAAAAAGAGGUCUGGACCUCUUUUUAAAAAACUGAGAAACGUUGGCUGGGUUGUCUCUUUGUCCAUCUUCCUCUGGCCAUCGAUGCCUCUCACACAUAAAAUCGAUAGCUAGUCGAUCGAUCUAUCCGGUUAGAGGGGCGCACAGACACGUACAAAUGACGACUUAGUGCCGGCUGAAAACACAUGUCGACUUGCAGCGCAUGUCGUAACUAGCUCUGUCUUUCAUUGAUUACAGGAUAUAACUCUAUACAGAGAUCCUUCCUAGCAUCUAGGAGAGAACAUGCCCGUGCAAAGCCGCAUGCAUAGAAAAACUGCCACUUGCCAAACACUUAACGAAACUGGGAAAAUCUAUGUUUUUCAUAAACUAGAGUAUUUGUUGCCCAUCUAUUGAAAUACUGAGGUUUUGGAAUACUAUGGUUUUGGAAAAACGGUGUUGCCAAACUAGGCCUAAAACUUUUUGGACUACCAAUGUUGUAAAGGUUAAAUUAUUAUAUUUUAAGGUUGUAAAGGCUGUAUGUUGUGUUGGCUAAGACUAAAGAUUGUAAAUUCAUCAUCGUACCAAUGUCAUUCUCUUUGCAGAUGAUUCUAGAAACUAUAUUAUCAGUUCAUUGCUACUUUGUAUGUGCCUUAUGAUAUGUCCUCGUAUAUGUCUGGACUGAAAUAUGAGUGUCUUGGUCCUUCUUAUAUUAUUUUUUAUGAUCUCAGUCAGCCUCUUUCACACCCAUUGUGUUGAGGACCAAUGAAAAUAUGUUCAUUUUGAUGUCAUUUUAUUUGUGAGUAAAUAGAAGUUAACCUGAUUAUGUGGUUGCAUGAUUUGCCUGAUUCUGUGUUUCUUUUGGACUUUAUGUUUUUCUAUGAACUUGUCAAAUCUAUAUGCGUUCUUAUAUAAUUAUUCUCUGCACUUUCACUACUAGGAAAUAUCUUAUAGCUUUAGUUGUGCAUUAGGGCUUAAAUAAGAAUCUCUGGGAAAAAAUGUUGCACAUUGGCAUCUACAUGUACUGCAUUGUUUUCGUGCCAUUCUUCUGAAGAAUCUGAAGUUUCUGAACCUUUGUUUGUAAUGCUGCAGGGUUCUGGUGGCGAUGAUGACAGUCGUCGAGAGGUUCGUGGACUUGACGGUGUCGUGGCUGACAGGUUUCAGAGUGCGGGGAGCGGGGCACGUGUACGAUGGCUUACUCCGUCCGCUGGUGGCAAGGCACGAGGACGACAUCGACCGAGCCAGCUGGAGCUGAAGGCCAGAGCGAGGGAUGUGACUGCGUCGCAACUCAAGGUGGCGGCUGUGUGUCGUCGCAGCUGUAGGCCGUGAGAUCAGGCCGGGCAGGCUCCGCGCAUUGACGAGUGGUCCAAUUUCCGGAUCGAGUCAUAACAACUUACGUAGGUAGUUGCUUAUGUAACUGUGCGAUAGAAUGGAAUUAUACAUGAGUUGGUGCUACAAUGUGGAAUUGGAGAAGAUGUGAAAACUGUGUGAUAGAAUGGAUUUGGUUGAUUUUUUUAAUUUAUAAUAAGUUAGUAGUA